AGAAGGAAAAGGAGAAGCAGACACUACCAAAAAAAGCAAGAGGGAAAGCUACUUAAUUUGAUGGGACAAAGACAGGUGAACCCGGGUUCAUUUCUGUGAGAAUCACAAAGUCAUUCGGGAGAGGACCUGACGGGCCAGCAUAAGGGAUUGUGUAACAUUACGUUUCCCAGAACAGGAGGUAUGGCUCAGUGUGUCCUUCGCCAUUACAAACUGUAAAUAAUCAUGUUUACCAGUGAAUAUUUAAAGGACACUGGUUUCAUUAAUUUGUUUUUCACAUUUGUUUAUUAGUGGUGUAUGUUGUUAAUUAUUUUGUUUUGUGAUUUGUGUGUGUGUGUGUGUGGGGGGGGGUAUUGAAGUGCUGCAUGGUGGUAUUAUGUGUACAGGGGUUUGUUUGUUGUGUCCAAUAAUAAUUCUUUUGUAACUCAACUUUGUUUUUGCUGGUGUGCUUCUGUACUUGUGGUGGUCUAAUAGGAAAGUAGUGUUGGUCGCUAGCGCCCCGGAUCAUUUCUUUAUUUUUUUUCUUUCUCCUUGUUGCUGCUCUAGGGCAGCAGUGUAUGUUAUAAACCCCAAUGACUCUCAUAGCUGUUUUAAUUGUGCAUUACAGUUGAACAUCUUGGCCUUAAAUUUACCUGGCUCUGCUGCUCUUGUUAAGAUUCUCAGGUGUUGUGACAUUGCGGCUAUAGUUUACUUGCGAGGUCUAUUUAUGUAUCCUGCACCACAACACUCUGCUGUGACAUUAGUAAAUAUCAGCUGCUGUGAUAAUGGCUCCUUUUGGGUUCUUUCAUGUAUCUUUUGUUAUUACUGUUACAGAUUGUUUUACUGUUUAGAAUCUAGGCCUUCUUUGGAAAUUUGUCUCCCUCAUUCAUUUAUACCUUUUGAACUGCUCUUUUGAUUUUUGGUAACUACUAUCAAUCCAUCCAUUUUCCAACCUGCUGAAUCCGAACACAGGGUCACGGGGGUCUGCUGGAGCCAAUCCCAGCCAACACAGGGCACAAGGCAGGAACCAAUCCAGGGCAGGGUGCCAACCCACCGCAGUGGAGGAAACAACAAAAGCAUACAAUCAGGGAUGUGCAUAUGAUAUUAUUUGCAUGGAUUUUCAGAAGCAUUUUGAUAAAACACCACAUGAGAGGCUACUGAUCAGAAUAAAAGAAGUUGCAAUUCAUUGUGCAGAUCCAGAAACCAGCUGCCCUGGCUCGGCAGUAAACAGAUGACUAAUUUUUUCAGAUUAACUGGAAGAUGCAUGCAAAAGGUAAAACAAAACAUAUAAAAUAUAAAUGAAAUGAACGAAACUAAGAUGAGAGGCAAGAGUCACAGUUAAAAAUCAGGCAACAAGUCAAAACCAGGUAAGACACAAAUAUCAAUAACAAGAGAGCUCUUUUAGAAUUUAAAGCCUAAAGCAAUUUUCCUUUAGCUACGCUCUCCUUCUCAGGGGUGGGGUUUGAUUAGUCUUCAAAUUUGUUGGGUUAUAAAUCGAUCUGUUUGUAUGGAAUGAUUACAAUGAAAAUUAAUAAAAUAAAAAUAUUAAUAAUAAAGAAUUUAAAGGAUUUAUCCACAGAUCAGAUAACGCUUGGUGCAAACCUUUAAAUCUGUUCUUCUGUUAGACUGAAGGUCUUGACCCCAGAGACCACACCCCUAAAAACAUGGAAUGCCACUCUGACAACAGGUAUGCAAAAAGGUGUCUAAGACAGAAAAAGACCAUAAGACCCUAAAAUUCAGCCCUGAUCAUGUACACCAAUGGAAGUGACAUUACUUCCAUUUCUGAGGCUGCUGGACCUGCCCUUUCCACCUCACUGACUUCAUGACCAGCAGCAUCAUCAUCUUUCUACAAUCUAAUGACAGACUUACCUCUGGAAAGAUGUUUCUUUCAAUGUUAAACUUAGUUUAUUAUUUUGUUGUUUAAUAUACUGGGCUUGCCGUAGGGUACUCCAAAUUUUUACCUUUGCUUUGUACUUUGUUUCAUUUACAAUAUAUAUGUAUUCAAAUACAGUAUAUAUACUGAAUAUAUGAAUAUAUAUAUAUAUACUGUAUAUAUACUGUGGCAGGCGGCCGGGGCACUUGCCUGACUGGGAUGCCCCUGCCACAUAUGUUCCGGAGGCGCAGGCAUGGGAAACCCAAUACCUCCCCCUGGAUGCUAGAUGGCAGCCUCCCUGGGUUGCAGCGGUGCCUCGGACUCUCCCGGGGCUUAAUGGGGGUUGAAGUGUUGUACAGCCCUGUUGGGUUCUGCAAGCGCCGCAAUGGGGUGCUGCAGCAGGAGCUGCUGAACCCUUCUGGGCACUGGUUUCGCCACACUCGGAAGUGCAGCCGUAUGUCGGCAAUCAAGCACCUGGAGCACUUCUGGGUGCCCAAUAAAAGGAGCCAGCAACCACCACUCAGUGGCCAGAGUUGGGAACAACAACAACAACAACAUUUAUUUAUAUAGCACAUUUUCAUACAAAAAGUAGCUCAAAGUGCUUUACAUAAUGAAGAAAAGAAGAAUAAAAGACAAAUAAGAAAUUAAAAUAAGACAACCUUAGUUAACAUAAAAAGGAGUAAGGUCCGAUGGCCAGGGUGGACAGAAAAAACAAAAAAAAACUCCAGAAAGCUGGAGAAAAAAAUAAAAUCUGUAGGGGUUCCAGGCCACGAGACCGCCCAGUCCCCUUUGGGCAUUCUACCUAACAUAAAUGAAAUAGUCCUCUUUGUAGUUAGGGUUCUCACGG